rnacentral:rRNA from 1 species
UACAGAGGUGGCAAGCGUUGUUCGGAAUCACUGGGCUUAAAGCGCGUGUAGGCGGGACGGAAGGUGCUUGGUGAAAUCCCAUGGCUCAACCAUGGAACUGCCGGGCAAACCAUCGUCCUUGAGGCAGGUAGAGGUGAUCGGAACCUUAGGUGGAGCGGUGAAAUGCGUAGAUAUCUAAGGGAACGCCGGUGGCGAAAGCGGAUCACUGGGCCUGUCCUGACGAUGAGACGCGAAAGCGUAGGGAGCAAACGGG